rnacentral:tRNA from 1 species
GGGGUUGUAGCUCAGUGGUAGAGCACUUGCCUUGCAUGCAUGAGAUACUGGGUUCAAUCCUCAGCACCA